CAAAAUUGCGCAAAUGCCUAGCAGAAAAAGAACUUGUUCGUAUACAUAGGUAGGUUCACGAAAUAUUGUAGUAGUACUUUGGUGAAAGGAUUCACAUCAGUUCAAUCAUUUUUGAAUGUUCAGUAAAAGUUCAAAUAGAGCAGAGGCUUUCACCUCAUUCGAAAAAGCCUAAAAAGCAACAGUACAAUGAUAGAAAAAAAUCAGUUCAAAAAAAUAUGCUGGAGGUUUGUCGGAAUGGCAGAAAAACAUCAGUUCAAUUUUUCUGUACCAUCGCUUCUAUUGCUAAAUGUUUUAGUCACUUGUUUUCUUGAUGCCAUCAGGUAUUUCCUUAAAUACUUCGGUCUUGUGCAGCUGGUACUAGUGUGAAUGGGUAGCAAGUUGAACUACCAAUCCACACCAAGUUCAGACCUCUUUUUGGAAUUGGGCCUGCCCCAUGAUCCGGCGUCGCCCUCCGCUGCCUCAGCACGCAGGCCGUUCACCUUCACCACCCCUGGCCGUUCACCACCACCACCAGCGCCCGUUCAAUGCCGCCCCAACAACCCAGUGCGACUUUGUCUCUCUCAACUUAAAAAGCGGUUCAGCUCAGUGCAUGUCAGACAUUAAAGCAAUAUUCUGUAGUAGCUUCAAAAAAUGCAAAUGGUCAUGUUUCCACAAGACUGACGGAACACUGCCAAUUGAAUUGAGCACUAGCGGAACUGUGAAGGUUCGUUCUAUAAAAUUGCAUCAGUUCGCUAGCAAAAUCAAAUUCAGUUCAUCUGCCCUUUGUUAGCUUCAGAAAAUGCAAAUGUGUAUGUUUUUGCAGCACUGACGAAACACUACCAAUUGAAUUGAACGUUGACCACGUCUCCACCCUCCCCACGCCCGCCAAUGCUGCGACCACCCCUCCCCCUCACGAUUUCUCGUUGAUAUCGCUGUAUUCAUGCUUGUUACGUGAGUUGCCUGAUGGAAGUUCUGCAACUGUCAGUCCAGAUGGAAGAAGGAGAUCCAUCCAAAGUGUGAGUUUUGCGACGUCGACGUGCAAGUUCUACAAUUAUCUGUCCAGAUGGGAGAAGGAGAUCAAUCCAACCGACGCAUCUAAAGCGACAUAUGCAGAGCCAUUCGUCUGAGAGCCAAAUCCUGGCGCGCCCAGCCGCUGCUCGUGAACCCCGCCUCCAUCAGCUCCACUUCACUGGAGCCGUCAGUCCACAGGAAUAGGGGUAGCGGAUCCCCUAUAGCGGUCAAAUCCCGGUGCGCCCAGCCGCUGCUUGUGAACCUCGCCUCCAUCAGCUCCACUUCACCAGAGCCGUCAGUCCGCAGGAGUAGGGGUAGCAGGUUCACCCAACGUCCGACGCCUUCUUCCAUCUCCAAAAAUCUUGUUUUUUGAGUUCAGUUCUUCGUCACAUGUUUCACUAGCUGAAAAAUGCAUGGUGUUCUGAAAUUGCUUGCGGACCACUAGCUGAAAUUGCUUGACGAACAAAAGCAAAGGUUUUAUCUUCAUCUACUAUUUUUUCAGAUAUUCGUCAUAUGCACGAGCAUGACUAUAUUUGCUUGUUAUGAUCUAGUGGGCAACAUUAACAUUUGGGUAGUCCUUCUGCAGGGCCCAAACCCACUGUCGUGCAAGAAAAAGAAAGCAAAGCCCCAACCAUCAGCUGCUCAAUCAUCAG
rnacentral:rRNA from 1 species